GAUCCGAUUGCGGUUCUCGUUCUUAAACUCAAUCAUACACAUGACAUCAAGUCAUAUUUGAUUCCAAAACACUAACCAAGCUUCUUCUUGCUUCUCAAAGCUUUGAUGGUGUAGCUGAAGUCCAUAUGAGUCUUUGGAUUUGUAU
rnacentral:sRNA from 1 species